CUUAAGUAGAGAUACUUGAGAAGUUCUUUAACAGAUAGAUAAGCAAUUUGUGUGGAUUUUUGCUGUUGAUGAUGAUGUUAAAAAAUUAUCAAUGGUAGAAAAGACUCGCAAUUCAAUUUGUGCAGCUUUUUUAAUUCCAUUGAGCCAAGAUUUUGGUGCUUUCGAUAAAAGUACCGAUAUAAAUUAAACUGAAGAGUUUGAUCAUGGCUCAGAUUGAACGCUGGCGGCAGGCUUAACACAUGCAAGUCGAGCGGAGACUUCGGUCUUAGCGGCGAACGGGUGAGUAAUACCUAGGAAUCUGCCUAUUAGUGGGGGAUAACGAAUCGAAAGGUUCGCUAAUACCGCAUACGUCCUACGGGAGAAAGAGGGGGAUCUUCGGACCUCUUGCUAAUAGAUGAGCCUAGGUCGGAUUAGCUAGUUGGUAGGGUAAAGGCCUACCAAGGCGACGAUCUGUAGCUGGUCUGAGAGGAUGGCCAGCCACACUGGAACUGAGACACGGUCCAGACUCCUACGGGAGGCAGCAGUGGGGAAUAUUGGACAAUGGGCGCAAGCCUGAUCCAGCCAUGCCGCGUGUGUGAAGAAGGCCUUCGGGUUGUAAAGCACUUUAAGUAGGGAGGAAGGUCACUAUACUAAUAUUAUGGUGAAUUGACGUUACCUACAGAAUAAGCACCGGCUAACUCUGUGCCAGCAGCCGCGGUAAUACAGAGGGUGCAAGCGUUAAUCGGAAUUACUGGGCGUAAAGCGCGCGUAGGCGGUUUGUUAAGUCGGAUGUGAAAUCCCUGGGCUCAACCUAGGCACUGCAUCCGAUACUGGCUGACUAGAGUAUGGGAGAGGAAGGUAGAAUUCCAGGUGUAGCGGUGAAAUGCGUAGAGAUCUGGAGGAAUACCGAUGGCGAAGGCAGCCUUCUGGCCUAAUACUGACGCUGAGGUGCGAAAGCAUGGGGAGCAAACAGGAUUAGAUACCCUGGUAGUCCAUGCUGUAAACGAUGUCAACUAGCCGUUGGGCUCCUUGAGGGCUUAGUGGCGCAGCUAACGCGAUAAGUUGACCGCCUGGGGAGUACGGUCGCAAGACUAAAACUCAAAUGAAUUGACGGGGGCCCGCACAAGCGGUGGAGCAUGUGGUUUAAUUCGAUGCAACGCGAAGAACCUUACCUGGCCUUGACAUGUCUGGAAUCUUGUAGAGAUACGAGAGUGCCUUCGGGAAUCAGAACACAGGUGCUGCAUGGCUGUCGUCAGCUCGUGUCGUGAGAUGUUGGGUUAAGUCCCGCAACGAGCGCAACCCUUUUCUUUAUUUGCCAGCACGUAAUGGUGGGAACUCUAAAGAUACUGCCGGUGACAAACCGGAGGAAGGCGGGGACGACGUCAAGUCAUCAUGGCCCUUACGGCCAGGGCUACACACGUGCUACAAUGGUUGGUACAAAGGGUUGCUACCUCGCGAGAGGAUGCUAAUCUCAAAAAGCCAAUCGUAGUCCAGAUUGGAGUCUGCAACUCGACUCCAUGAAGUCGGAAUCGCUAGUAAUCGCAGAUCAGAAUGCUGCGGUGAAUACGUUCCCGGGCCUUGUACACACCGCCCGUCACACCAUGGGAGUCUAUUGCACCAGAAGUAGGUAGUCUAACCGUAAGGAGGACGCUUACCACGGUGUGGUCGAUGACUGGGGUGAAGUCGUAACAAGGUAGCCGUAGGGGAACCUGCGGCUGGAUCACCUCCUUAA
rnacentral:rRNA from 1 species